AUUGAACGCUGGCGGCAGGCCUAACACAUGCAAGUCGAACGAGUGGCGGACGGGUGAGUAAUGUCUGGGAAACUGCCCGAUGGAGGGGGAUAACUACUGGAAACGGUAGCUAAUACCGCAUACCAUCGGAUGUGCCCAGAUGGGAUUAGCUAGUAGGUGGGGUAACGGCUCACCUAGGCGACGAUCCCUAGCUGGUCUGAGAGGAUGACGAGGCACACUGGAAGUGCGCCAGGGUCCAGACUCCUACGUGAGGCAGAAGUGGGGAAUGUUGCACAAUGUGCGCAAGUCUGAUUCAGCGAUGCCGCGUGUAUGAAGAAGGCCUUAGGGUGGUAAAGUACGUGCAGCGAGGAGGCGUUACUCGCAGAAGAAGCACCGGCUAACUCCGGGCCAGCAGCCGCGGUAAUUC
rnacentral:rRNA from 1 species